GCUACAGGCUUAACACAUGCAAGUCGAGGGGCAGUAUGGUCUUAGCUUGCUAAGGCCGAUGGCGACCGGCGCACGGGUGAGUAACAUGUAUCCAACCUGCCGUCUACUCUUGGACAGCCUUCUGAAAGGAAGAUUAAUACAAGAUGGCAUCAUGAGUCCGCAUGUUCACAUGAUUAAAGGUAUUCCGGUAGACGAUGGGGAUGCGUUCCAUUAGAUAGUAGGCGGGGUAACGGCCCACCUAGUCUUCGAUGGAUAGGGGUUCUGAGAGGAAGGUCCCCCACAUUGGAACUGAGACACGGUCCAAACUCCUACGGGAGGCAGCAGUGAGGAAUAUUGGUCAAUGGGCGAGAGCCUGAACCAGCCAAGUAGCGUGAAGGAUGACUGCCCUAUGGGUUGUAAACUUCUUUUAUAAAGGAAUAAAGUCGGGUAUGCAUACCCGUUUGCAUGUACUUUAUGAAUAAGGAUCGGCUAACUCCGUGCCAGCAGCCGCGGUAAUACGGAGGAUCCGAGCGUUAUCCGGAUUUAUUGGGUUUAAAGGGAGCGUAGAUGGAUGUUUAAGUCAGUUGUGAAAGUUUGCGGCUCAACCGUAAAAUUGCAGUUGAUACUGGAUAUCUUGAGUGCAGUUGAGGCAGGCGGAAUUCGUGGUGUAGCGGUGAAAUGCUUAGAUAUCACGAAGAACUCCGAUUGCGAAGGCAGCCUGCUAAGCUGCAACUGACAUUGAGGCUCGAAAGUGUGGGUAUCAAACAGGAUUAGAUACCCUGGUAGUCCACACGGUAAACGAUGAAUACUCGCUGUUUGCGAUAUACUGCAAGCGGCCAAGCGAAAGCGUUAAGUAUUCCACCUGGGGAGUACGCCGGCAACGGUGAAACUCAAAGGAAUUGACGGGGGCCCGCACAAGCGGAGGAACAUGUGGUUUAAUUCGAUGAUACGCGAGGAACCUUACCCGGGCUUAAAUUGCAGAUGAAUUACGGUGAAAGCCGUAAGCCGCAAGGCAUCUGUGAAGGUGCUGCAUGGUUGUCGUCAGCUCGUGCCGUGAGGUGUCGGCUUAAGUGCCAUAACGAGCGCAACCCUUGUUGUCAGUUACUAACAGGUUCCGCUGAGGACUCUGACAAGACUGCCAUCGUAAGAUGUGAGGAAGGUGGGGAUGACGUCAAAUCAGCACGGCCCUUACGUCCGGGGCUACACACGUGUUACAAUGGGGGGUACAGAGGGCCGCUACCACGCGAGUGGAUGCCAAUACCCAAAACCUCUCUCAGUUCGGACUGGAGUCUGCAACCCGACUCCACGAAGCUGGAUUCGCUAGUAAUCGCGAAUCAGCCACGGCGCGGUGAAUACGUUCCCGGG
rnacentral:rRNA from 1 species